rnacentral:rRNA from 1 species
GGGGCAGCUACACAUGCAAGUCGAGCGGUAGCACAGAGAGCUUGCUCUCGGGUGACGAGCGGCGGACGGGUGAGUAAUGUCUGGGAAACUGCCUGAUGGAGGGGGAUAACUACUGGAAACGGUAGCUAAUACCGCAUAAUGUCGCAAGACCAAAGUGGGGGACCUUCGGGCCUCAUGCCAUCAGAUGUGCCCAGAUGGGAUUAGCUAGUAGGUGGGGUAACGGCUCACCUAGGCGACGAUCCCUAGCUGGUCUGAGAGGAUGACCAGCCACACUGGAACUGAGACACGGUCCAGACUCCUACGGGAGGCAGCAGUGGGGAAUAUUGCACAAUGGGCGCAAGCCUGAUGCAGCCAUGCCGCGUGUGUGAAGAAGGCCUUCGGGUUGUAAAGCACUUUCAGCGGGGAGGAAGGCGUUAAGGUUAAUAACCUUGGCGAUUGACGUUACCCGCAGAAGAAGCACCGGCUAACUCCGUGCCAGCAGCCGCGGUAAUACGGAGGGUGCAAGCGUUAAUCGGAAUUACUGGGCGUAAAGCGCACGCAGGCGGUCUGUCAAGUCGGAUGUGAAAUCCCCGGGCUCAACCUGGGAACUGCAUUCGAAACUGGCAGGCUAGAGUCUUGUAGAGGGGGGUAGAAUUCCAGGUGUAGCGGUGAAAUGCGUAGAGAUCUGGAGGAAUACCGGUGGCGAAGGCGGCCCCCUGGACAAAGACUGACGCUCAGGUGCGAAAGCGUGGGGAGCAAACAGGAUUAGAUACCCUGGUAGUCCACGCCGUAAACGAUGUCGAUUUGGAGGUUGUGCCCUUGAGGCGUGGCUUCCGGAGCUAACGCGUUAAAUCGACCGCCUGGGGAGUACGGCCGCAAGGUUAAAACUCAAAUGAAUUGACGGGGGCCCGCCACAAGCGGUGGAGCAUGUGGUUUAAUUCAAUGCAACGCGAAGAACCUUACACUGGUUCU